UUAAGCAUAUCAAUAAGCGGAGGAAAAGAAACUAACAAGGAUUCCCCUAGUAACUGCGAGUGAAGCGGGAAAAGCUCAAAUUUAAAAUCUGAUGGUCUUUGGCCGUCCGAGUUGUAGUCUGGAGAAGUGCUUUCCGCGCUGGACCGUGUACAAGUCUCUUGGAACAGAGCGUCGUAGAGGGUGAGAAUCCCGUCUUUGACACGGACUACCAGUGCUUUGUGAUGCGCUCUCAAAGAGUCGAGUUGUUUGGGAAUGCAGCUCAAAAUGGGUGGUAAAUUCCAUCUAAAGCUAAAUAUUGGCGAGAGACCGAUAGCGAACAAGUACCGUGAGGGAAAGAUGAAAAGCACUUUGGAAAGAGAGUUAAACAGUACGUGAAAUUGCUGAAAGGGAAACGAUUGAAGUCAGUCGCGUUAGCCAGGACUCAGCCUUGCUUUUGCUUGGUGCAUUUUCUGGUUGACGGGCCAGCAUCGAUUUUGGUUGUCGGAUAAAGGCAGGGGGAAUGUGGCAUCUUCGGAUGUGUUAUAGCCCUCGGUCACAUACGACGGCUAGGAUCGAGGACCGCAGCACGCCUUCAUGGCCGGGGUUCGCCCACGUACGUGCUUAGGAUGCUGGCAUAAUGGCUUUAAACGACCCGUCUUGAAACACGGACCAAGGAGUCUAACAUACCUGCGAGUGUUUGGGUGGAAAACCCGAGCGCGUAAUGAAAGUGAAAGUUGAGAUCUCUGUCAUGGAGAGCAUCGACGCCCGGACCUGACCUUCUGUGAGGGAUCUGCGGUAGAGCAUGUAUGUUGGGACCCGAAAGAUGGUGAACUAUGCCUGAAUAGGGUGAAGCCAGAGGAAACUCUGGUGGAGGCUCGUAGCGAUUCUGACGUGCAAAUCGAUCGUCAAAUUUGGGUAUAGGGGCGAAAGACUAAUCGAACCAUCUAGUAGCUGGUUCCUGCCGAAGUUC
rnacentral:rRNA from 1 species